GGGGAUGUCGCUCAGUGGGAGAGCCCUGGCCUUGCAUGCCAGAGGCCCUGGGUUCCAGCCUCAGCCCUGCCA
rnacentral:tRNA from 1 species